rnacentral:rRNA from 1 species
CAGUCGCCGCGGGAAUACGUAGGGGGCAAGCGUUGUCCGGAAUUAUUGGGCGUAAAGCGCGCGCAGGCGGUUCUUUAAGUCUGGUGUAUAAGUGCGGGGCUCAACCCCGUGAGGCACUGGAAACUGGGGAACUUGAGUGCAGAAGAGGAGAGCGGAAUUCCACGUGUAGCGGUGAAAUGCGUAGAGAUGUGGAGGAACACCAGUGGCGAAGGCGGCUCUCUGGACUGUAACUGACGCUGAGGCGCGAAAGCGUGGGGAGCAAACAGGAUUAGAUACCCCUGUAGUCCCUGUCUCUUAUACA